rnacentral:rRNA from 1 species
CCUACGGGGCGCAGCAGUGGGGAAUUUUGCGCAAUGCUCGUAAGAGUGACGCAGCGACGCCGCGUGAAUGACGAAGGCCUUCGGGUCGUAAAGUUCUUUCGACAGGGAAGAAAAUGCCUAUAAGUAACUGUGUAUGUAUUGACGGUACCUGUAUAAGCAGCCCCGGCUACCUCCGUGCCAGCAGCCGCGGUAAUACGGAGGGGGCGAGCGUUGUCCGGAGUGACUGGGCGUAAAGAGCACGUAGGCGGUGUUGUAAGUCAUUAGUCAAAGACUAGAGCUCAACUUUAGUAAGGCUAGUGAUACUAUAAUACGAGAGUAUUAGAGAGGAUUGCAGAAUUCCUGGUGUAGCGGUGAAAUGCGUAGAUAUCAGGAGGAAUACCGUUAGCGAAGGCGGCAAUCUGGCUGGAAACUGACGCUGAGGUGCGAAAGCGUGGGUAGCAAACAGGAUUAGAUACCCCUGUAGUC